GAUCCUGGUUCAGGAUGAACGCUAGCUACAGGCUUAACACAUGCAAGUCGAGGGGCAGCAUGGUCUUAGCUUGCUAAGGCCGAUGGCGACCGGCGCACGGGUGAGUAACACGUAUCCAACCUGCCGUCUACUCUUGGACAGCCUUCUGAAAGGAAGAUUAAUACAAGAUGGCAUCAUGAGUUCACAUGUUCACAUGAUUAAAGGUAUUCCGGUAGACGAUGGGGAUGCCG
rnacentral:rRNA from 1 species